GUCAGUCUGGCACUCAGUCAGUCAGUCAGUAAGAGACAUUCGCUCUUCGCUCUUACGCGGUCCGGUAAAAAACAGUGAACUUAAGAAACAAAAGGAACAAUAUUUUAGAUUAUUUGAAUGCCCUUUUAGAAUGAUAAUUUUAAGUGGCGCUUUGUAGAAUCCUGCUUCAAACGUUUACAAAAGGUGGAGGCGGUCCACCAAUCCUCCAUGUCACACUGACUGAUGGACAGGUCACAAAGGACCUCAAACCUCUCAGGAGGAGAUGGAGUCUGGUUGAUCCGGGGAACACCUAGAAAGAGGGGACAGCAAGCCAUCCAUCAAACCCCACCAAGGGCUUCCUCCUGGGGAGACCUCCUACCACGAGCCCCCUCUCCACCUGGCUGGUCUGCAGCACUCCAGAGAGAGAGAGAGAAAGAAAGAGAGAGUUAAAUUAAGAGUUAUGUACACAUCCUUAUAGUCACAUAGUAUUUUCAUACAUCUUUAUGGGUCCUAUAUCAACACAUUUUCAGCUGAAAUUAAAGAACAAAUAAUGAUGGCACAGAAAAAUGUACAGUACCUAUUUGAAUAGGAACAGCCUGCUCAGGGGUACCUUCCCAUUUGUCAAGACAGCAGUACAAUGCCUUACCAACACCUGAAAGUCUGCAUUAUCCUGCAACCAAUUUAUUUCUGAAAGCUUUUGUGUUCUGGAGCGCAUUCUGGGGUAAAAUAUCACUGUAAAUCUUCCAAAUCGACUGUAUUUGCAAUUCAAGAGAUGGAUUUAUGUCGAUAUUCGUUGGCUUAGAUUUGCAAUAGGAAAAUCAUGGCACUCGAUCACAACAUUGGCUCCUGGCGUCCAUCUUAGACUAGAGAAAUAUCAAUAUGUCCUGCGACACGGCACAGUGGGGGGAAUUAUGUCAACCCGAUGACUCGGCUCUUACAUGAAUUCAUUUCCUCCUGCCGUCGCCCUCCACAAUUCCUCGACUCGCCACACUCGACAACUAUUUGAGAGAGUUGGGUCGCAUGAAUGUCCAAGCUGGCGGAGUGCCGAUCGGAUUUAGUCAUUAAUCGUCAUGGGAACAAACAGCCCACCCCGGGAAGCAAUGUGACCCCACACGGCUCCAGAGGUUCACAUCACUCCCACUGGCGGCAGGAUAUUCUCACAGCGCCAAAGCUGAUUCCCUGAUUUUCUUUUGUUGCCUUGACUUAUGUUUGUCGUGUGGUUUCAGGUCUGGAAGCCUGAUGAGUUUAAAUAGAAAAUGAAGUGUUGUCGCAUUAUGCUUUACCUCAUGACCCGAUUUGGUUCCCGGCUCCACCUAUUAUGUAUUGGGGCUGUAGUCAU